rnacentral:rRNA from 1 species
AACGUAGGAGACAAACGUUAUCCGGAGUUACUGGGCGUAAAGGGCGUGUAGGUGGUUUCGUAAGUCUGGCGUGAAAUUUCUCGGCUUAACCGAGGCAGGUCGUCGGAUACUGCGGGGCUUGAGGACGGUAGAGGCGUGUGGAAUUCCGGGUGUAGUGGUGAAAUGCGUAGAGAUCCGGAGGAACACCAGUGGCGAAGGCGACACGCUGGGCCGUGCCUGACACUGAUGCGCGACAGCAUGGGGAGCAAACAGG